AUGACUGAAUGCACUAGGCGGGUCCGGCCCACUCCCCGUCUGCGCCUGCGCCUGCGCCUGCGCAAUCACAAGGGCUGUGCCCAAAUUCUCUGCCUGCUGCCGUGCACUGCUAAGCUGGCCCUUCCUGCAACGCCCGCCCCUUCAUGUACCUCCUGCCACGCGGCACGCGCAGCCCUCCUCGGGACGAGCGCUGUGCAGUGCCUCCUUCUGCGCCGCCUUCUAGGCCGAGGUGCUGCACACGGUGCUCGCGGGCCGCCUGCUGCCGCCCGGCGCGGUGGUGGCCGUGGGCGCCUCGUAUGGCAAGGACUCCACAGUGGUGGCGCACGUGCUGCGCGCUGGCGCCGCGCCUGGGCAUCUCACUGCAGCUCGUGGCCUUCGACGAGGGCAUCGGCGGCUACCGGGAAGCGGCGCUGACGGCCGUGCGGCGCCAGGCGGCGCGCUGGGAGCUGUCGCUCACCGUUGUGGCCUACGAAGACCUCUUCGGAGCUGGACGGUGGACCCCGUAGGCCGCAGCACAACCAACUCCAGCCGCAGCCGCUCCUGCUGCACCUUCUGUGGGGUACUGCAGCGCCGGGCGCUGGAGGAAGGGGGGCGCCACGUGGGAGCCACUCACACACUGACCGCUGAGAACAAGGGCGGCCGCAGUUCUGCGUGAUAGAGGGAGUGGGGAGCAUGCGCAGGCAAUGGGCGGUUCCUGAAAGGGGACUGGUGCGCAUGCUCCAGAAGUGGGCGAGGAGACCCUGGGAAUGGCUUAGCGGGAGGAUCUCAGUGAGGCGCUGGGGAAAUACACAUGUGCCUAUUUGGGGCCGGAGCCUGCUGAAGGCUCAUGUGGGUAGUACGUGUGCCUCCCUAGGAUGGAGUAAGGCAGGUUUUUCAAGCCUCUGGGUCUCUGCCAUCAUCUUAGUACACACAUGGGCAAAUAGAGGGGUAGAGAGGCUACCCUGUAGGAGCUAAGGCUAGAGUACUCUGCUAUUAUUAUUAUUGUUAUUAUUUUGAGAUAGAGUCUCGCUCUGUUGCCCAGGCUGGAGUGCAGUGGUGCAAUCUAGGCUCACUGCAACCUAGGCCCCCCCGGAUUCAAGCGAUUCUCCUGCCUCAGUCUCCUAAGUAGCUGGGAUUACAGGUGCCUGCCACUACGCCUGGGUAAUUUUUGUAUUUUUAGUAGAGGGAAAUGACUUUCUUUGUAUCUCCCUUUACAAAGAGAGAGAUGUGAAGAGGCGUCUCCCAUCGUAAGCCAUACAGUCUGAAACGCUACGGUGUCUCUUAACUCCUUUUCUUUAUAGGUUUCUCUCCGACAACUCUUAUUUUUUCCUAAUGAUUACUUUAAUAAGUAAUUAUCGUCCAUUGACUAAAUACCAGAUACAAGCUGUGUAGCCUAGAGCAGAUUACCUAACCUCCAUUUCAUCUUUUUUAAAAUGGGGAUGUUAAUAAUAUCUGGGUCCUUGAGUUGGAAAGUACUUGAGUUAUAUAUAAGGCACUUAGACUAGAGGCUGAAAAACAGUAAACAUGAUGUAAAUGUUUACUGUUACGACGAUGCACAAGAGCACAAUACAGUCUGUACUCCUGCCUGAUUUUCACGUAUGUAAUUAUCACCUGACAAGUGCUACGACGGAAAAUUACACAGAACAUGUGAAUUUAUGUCAGGGGAUCCUAGUGACGGGGAAAAGGUGGGGAUUAAAGAAAUCUUUCCUGCGUGAACCAAGACCAGAAGGCUCAGUGAAUAACCAGGUGAAGGAUGAGUUGGAGUUUGGGGGAGCGGUGUUCUGAGCUGAGGACACAGAGAGGCAAAGGCCUUGAGGAGGGGAAGUAUGACCAACUUGAGAAGCCCUAAGAAGAACAGCAUUUUAAUAUACAGAGUCAAGUAUAAGAUGACGAGAUGCAGAAUAAACAUGGUUUCCAUUUACAUUGUAUGGCGACUGGUGUGUUUGUAUGCACUUUCUUUCCGGUCUUUCUAAACCUCGUGAUCUGUAUUCCCAGAGGCACUUGUGUCUACAGCUCUCUUGAGAAUCCCCAUUAGAUGGUCCUUUUUUCUCCUGUGUAGUCUGAAAUACAGUUUUAAGUGAGGCUGAAAUGGUUUGCAGCUUAAAGCAUUUUUACCCGCUAUGUGGAAGGAGAGCUAGUGAAGGGCCUGGUGUACAGUAGGUGGAUGGCAAAUGAGGGCUCCCCCAAGGAACUUGUUUGUGUUCCCUUCAGGUUUUCUGUCCAACUCUAGUCUCCAUCUGGCUGCUCCAUGGUGCCCGGGAGUCUCCAUGGUCCGGUUUCCCCAUCAGUGUCUCUUCCCCCUCCCCCUGCCCCUCUCUGUCUUGAGUCCUGGCGGCCCCGCUGUGCCCUGGGUUUCUAUGGUCCGCGCUCCUCUCUCCGUCUCUCUCCGGGUCCUGGCGGCCCCACUGUGCCCUGGGUCUCCCCUCCCCGUCUCUCUCUGGGUCCUGGUUGCCCACAGUGCCCCAGGGGUCUCCAUGGCUCUGUCUCCCCCUCCCUGUCUCUGGAUCCUGGCUGUUGCACGUUGUUCGGGGGUCUCCAUGGCUCGCUCUCCCCGUCGCCGUCUCUCUCUGGGACCUGGAGGCCCCACUAUGCUCUGGGUCUCCGUGGGUCUCUCCUCCCAGUCUCUUUCUGGGUCCUGGUGGACCCUUGGUUCCUCGGGGGGCUCCCUGGCCAGCAGCGCCCUCCGCGCCCCACCUCACCGGCUCCCGUCUCUCCCCAGCAGGUCACAACGCCGACGACAUGGCGGAGACCUUGCUCAUGAAUUUCCUGAGAGGCGACGCGGGGCGGCUGGCCCCGGGCGGGGGCCUGGGCUCUCCGGACUAGGGGGGCGCCCUGCCGCGCUGCCGCCAGCUGCAGUUCGCCUCGCAGAAGGAGGUGGUGCUGUACGCGCACUUCGCCGCCUCGACUACUUCUCCGAGGAGUGCGUUUACGCGCCUGAGGCCUUCCGCGGCCACUCCCGGGACCCGCUCAAGCGCCUGGAGGCUGCGCGGCCGUCGGCGGUGCUGGACCUCGUGCACUCGGCCGAGCGCCUGGCGCUGGCCCCGGCCGCGCGGCCCCCGCGCCCUGGCGCCUGCUCCCGCUGUGGGGCCCUGGCCAGUUGCGCGCUCUGCCAGGCCUGCGCGCUCCCGGCCAUCGGCAAGGGCCGCCGGGGGCUGGACAAGGAGGCGACGCCGGGGACACCCGGGGAUCCGGCCCGGGCCCCCACCUCCGAGACUGUCCCCACCUUCUAGCGACUCCGGGCCUCCCGCCGGAAUCCGACGCCCCCGGGUGGGGGCUACCUGUAAAUGACACUGUGAAUAAACCUGUUACCUUA